CCUACGGGUGGCAGCAGUGGGGAAUAUUGGACAAUGGGCGAAAGCCUGAUCCAGCCAUGCCGCGUGUGUGAAGAAGGCCUUCGGGUUGUAAAGCACUUUCAGUGGGGAAGAAAGCCUUGGGGCUAAUACCCUCGAGGAAGGACAUCACCCACAGAAGAAGCACCGGCUAACUCCGUGCCAGCAGCCGCGGUAAUACGGAGGGUGCGAGCGUUAAUCGGAAUUACUGGGCGUAAAGCGCGCGUAGGCGGUCUGAUAAGCCGGUUGUGAAAGCCCCGGGCUCAACCUGGGAACGGCAUCCGGAACUGUCAGGCUAGAGUGCAGGAGAGGAAGGUAGAAUUCCCGGUGUAGCGGUGAAAUGCGUAGAGAUCGGGAGGAAUACCAGAGGCGAAGGCGGCCUUCUGGACUGACACUGACGCUGAGGUGCGAAAGCGUGGGUAGCAAACAGGAUUAGAUACCCUAGUAGUC
rnacentral:rRNA from 1 species